rnacentral:rRNA from 1 species
UAUGGCUCAGAACGAACGCUGGUGGCGUGUCUAUACAUGCAAGUCGAGCGAGGCAGCAAUGCCGAGCGGCGAACGGGUGAGUAACGCGUAAGCAAUCUGCCCCAUAUCAGGAAAUACCCGUGCCAACGCGCGGUUAAUGUCCAGGAGAGUGGCCCCCUGCAUGGGGGGUUGACUAGAGAUUUAUCGGUAUGGGAUGAGCUUGCGUCCGAUUAGCUAGUUGGCGGGGCAACGGCCCACCAAGGCGACGAUCGGUAGCCGGCCUGAGAGGGUGAUCGGCCACAUUGGGACUGAGAUACGGCCCAGACUCCUACGGGAGGCAGCAGUAGGGAAUAUUGCGCAAUGGGGGAAACCCUGAUGCAGCAACGCCACGUGUGGGAAAGAAGCAUUUCGGUGUGUAAACCACUGUCAUGAGGGAAUAAGGCCCGCCUUCGGGCGGGAUUGAAUGUACCUUGAGAGGAAGCACCGGCAAACUUCGUGCCAGCAGCUGC